UACGGAGGGUGCAAGCGUUGUCCGGAUUUAUUGGGUUUAAAGGGUGCGUAGGCGGCUUUUUAAGUCAGUGGUGAAAUACAGCAGCUUAACUGUUGAGGUGCCAUUGAUACUGAAGAGCUUGAGUACAGAUGAGGUAGGCGGAAUUUAUGGUGUAGCGGUGAAAUGCAUAGAUACCAUAAAGAACACCGAUUGCGAAGGCAGCUUACUAAGCUGUAACUGACGCUGAGGCACGAAAGCGUGGGGAGCGAACAGG
rnacentral:rRNA from 1 species